rnacentral:rRNA from 1 species
UACAGAGGUCUCAAGCGUUGUUCGGAUUCAUUGGGCGUAAAGGGUGCGUAGGCGGCGCGGUAAGUCGGGUGUGAAAUCUCGGAGCUUAACUCCGAAACUGCAUUCGAUACUGCCGUGCUUGAGGACUUGAGAGGGAGACGGAAUUCCGGGUGGAGCGGUGAAAUGCGUAGAGAUCCGGAGGAACACCCAAGGCGAAGGCAGUCUCCUGGCAAGUGGCUGACGCUGAGGUGCGAAAGCGAGGGGAGCCAACAGG